rnacentral:rRNA from 1 species
ACUCUUACGGGAGGCAGCAGUAGGGAAUCUUCCACAAUGGACGCAAGUCUGAUGGAGCAACGCCGCGUGAGUGAAGAAGGGUUUCGGCUCGUAAAGCUCUGUUGGUAGUGAAGAAAGAUAGAGGUAGUACCUGGCCUUUAUUUGACGGUAAUUACUUAGAAAGUCACGGCUAACUACGUGCCAGCAGCCGCGGUAAUAC